GUCCACGCCGUAAACGGUGAGUGCUCGUCGUCGUGGGUAUUGACCCCUGCGGUGACCAAGUUAACGCAUGAAGCACUCCGCCUGGGAAGUACGGUCGCAAGACUAAAACUCAAAGAAAUUGACGGGGGCCCGCACAAGCGGUGGAGCAUGUUGUUUAAUUCGAAGCAACGCGCAGAACCUUACCUGGAUUUGACAUCUCGGGAAUCUUCCUGAAAAGGAAGAGUGCCUUCGGGAACCCGAUGACAGGUGCUGCAUGGCU
rnacentral:rRNA from 1 species